rnacentral:rRNA from 1 species
GACGAACGCUGGCGGCGUGCUUAACACAUGCAAGUCGAACGAUGAAGAAGAGAAACGCGAACUUCGGUUCAAAUUUCACUUCGGAUUAGUGGCAGACGGGUGAGUAACGCGUGAGCAACCUACCUCUUACAAAGGGAUAGCCUCGGGAAACCGUGAUUAAUACCAUAUGACACAUUCAUAAGGCAUCUUAAGAAUGUUAAAGCUACGGCGGUAAGAGAUGGGCUCGCGUCCCAUUAGCUAGUUGGUGAGGUAACGGCCCACCAAGGCGACGAUGGGUAACCGGCCUGAGAGGGUGAACGGUCACAUUGGAACUUAGACACGGUCCAAACUCCUACGGGAGGCAGCAGUGGGGAAUAUUGCACAAUGGAGGGAACUCUGAUGCAGCGACGCCGCGUGAGCGAUGAAGGAAUUCGUUUCGUAAAGCUCUGUUCUAUGGGAAGAAAAGGACUGUACCAUAGGAGAAAGCCCCGGCUAAAUACGUG